UUUCCAAACAUUCACUUCUUCUACUAAAUACGGAACAAUAUGUUGAUGCCACUGUUUCCAAAGUUUAUCUAAAGAGUUGACUUCUAUUCUUUUCUGUAGAGUUAAGUCUUUUAGUAUGGAAACAAAAGUACAGGGUUGUUGUACUGUUUUGUAAGAGGCAAAAUCAGGAGGGUGCAAAUAGACAAAAGUAUUCUUCUGUUCUUCUUGUGGCUUUUCUGCAUUUUCAUCCAAUAAACUAUAAAUGGACUCAUUCGAGCCAGUUGAUAUGUCAUCGUUUAUCGUGGUGUUACUUCAGACGUGAUACUCCACGGUGACUGUUAAGACUUUCCUCGGAAUCACUAAAAGAAUCCAUUGGUGAUGUACAAUCGGUAUCGGACGCUGAUAGUUGUGAUAAUAACUUUUCAAGUGGCGGUUGACAAAUUGCGUUGAUGACAUUUUCAUUUAUGGUUGGUUCUAAAAUUUCACGUUCGUCAAACGUGACAGGACGGCUUUCGUUCGUCGCGCUUUCUUGCUUUUUCUUUAAUGUUGCUUCAUACAUAUCUUACAUUUUUUUCGAGCGUGAAGCUAGCGUCAUUUUGUUAAUGCAAAACUAACAACAGGUCGAAUCUGUCAAAAUAAUUUGAUUAAUAGUUUCUUAGAGUUGUUCUGAGCCGUGGAAAGCAAUAAGCAACAGUAGCCGCUGUUUUUAGGCACAUACACUUUACAAAGAAAACAGAUGAUGAUCUAUUCUAUUUCAAAAUCAUAAAAAGUAUCCGUCGAACAAAACAAGAAUUGAGUAGAUAUAACAUUAAUGGAAAAUUCGUCGAAAAAACUUUGCUACACCUAUACGCUACGUCAAGUGGAAUACAAAGCAGAAAUAUGUGAAGGUUAACGAAGUACGAGUCAGCAUGAACUAUUUAAUGCAUUACAAGAAGAUGCCACUUUAAAAAAACGUGUUUGCAGAUAAAUUUUUUGUUCUAUACACGAAUACUUAUAAAAAAACAUUACGAUUACUGUCCUAUUUCAUUCGGCCAUCAAUUUAAUUUUUUAUUGUCGAGAGUGCUUUUCUAGUUAAAUCAUGAAAAAAUGGAAUUGACUUGUUAUGAUCAAGAAGUGAAAUUUUAAAUGGUAUAAUUAAAAACACAAAGCGUAAGGUUAAAUACAAAAACCA